GACGAACGCUGGCGGCGUGCUUAACACAUGCAAGUCGAGCGGUAAGGCCCUUUCGGGGGUACACGAGCGGCGAACGGGUGAGUAACACGUGGGUGACCUGCCCUCAGCUCUGGGAUAAGCCUGGGAAACCGGGUCUAAUACUGGAUAUGACUCCAUGACGCAUGUUGUGGGGUGGAAAGCCUUGUGCGGCUGAGGAUGGGGCCCGCGGCCUAAUCAGCUUGUUGGUGGGGUGAGGCCUACCAAGGCGACGACGGGUAGCCGGCCUGAGAGGGCGACCGGCCACACUGGGACUGAGACACGGCCCAGACUCCUACGGGAGGCAGCAGUGGGGAUCUUGCGCAAUGGGCGAAAGCCUGACGCAGCGACGCCGCGUGAGGG
rnacentral:rRNA from 1 species